GGCGGCAUAGCCAAGUGGUAAGGCGGCGGUCUGCAAAACCGCUAUACCCCGGUUCGAAUCCGGGUGCCGCCU
rnacentral:tRNA from 1 species